AGGAGCCUGAAGGAGAUGCCCGAUACCGGGGA
rnacentral:piRNA from 1 species